rnacentral:rRNA from 1 species
GUCCACGCCAUAAACGAUGGAUGCUAGGUGUUGUGGGUAUUGACCCCCGCAGUGCCGCAGUUAACGCAUUAAGCAUCCCGCCUGGGGAGUACGGCCGCAAGGCUAAAACUCAAAGGAAUUGACGGGGGCCCCGCACAAGCGGUGGAGCAUGUGGUUCAAUUCGACGCAACGCGAAGAACCUUACCUGGGUUAAAUCCAUCGGAACACUGCAGAGAUGUGGUGGUGCCCUUCGGGGAGCCGAUGAGACGGUGCUGCAUGGCUGUCGU